GACGAACGCUGGCGGCGUGCUUAACACAUGCAAGUCGAACGUGAUUUUUGUGGAAAUUCUUUCGGGAAUGGAAAUGAAAUGAAAGUGGCGAACGGGUGAGUAACACGUGAGCAACCUACCUUACACAGGGGGAUAGCCGUUGGAAACGACGAUUAAUACCGCAUGAGACCACAGAAUCGCAUGAUAUAGGGGUCAAAGAUUUAUCGGUGUAAGAAGGGCUCGCGUCUGAUUAGCUAGUUGGAAGGGUAAAGGCCUACCAAGGCGACGAUCAGUAGCCGGUCUGAGAGGAUGAACGGCCACAUUGGAACUGAGACACGGUCCAAACUCCUACGGGAGGCAGCAGUGGGGAAUAUUGCACAAUGGGGGGAACCCUGAUGCAGCGACGCCGCGUGAGCGAAGAAGGUUUUCGAAUCGUAAAGCUCUGUCCUAUGAGAAGAUAAUGACGGUAUCAUAGGAGGAAGCCCCGGCUAAAUACGUGCCGGCAGCCGCGGUAAUACGUAUGGGGCGAGCGUUGUCCGGAAUUAUUGGGCGUAAAGGGUACGUAGGCGGUUUUUUAAGUCAGGUGUGAAAGCGUGAGGCUUAACCUCAUUAAGCACUUGAAACUGGAAGACUUGAGUGAAGGAGAGGAAAGUGGAAUUCCUAGUGUAGCGGUGAAAUGCGUAGAUAUUAGGAGGAAUACCGGUGGCGAAGGCGACUUUCUGGACUUUUACUGACGCUCAGGUACGAAAGCGUGGGGAGCAAACAGG
rnacentral:rRNA from 1 species